rnacentral:tRNA from 1 species
GCCCCCAUCGCCUAGCGGCUAUGGCAGCGGUGUUACAUACCGUCAUUCGCAGGUUCGAGUCCUGCUGGGGGCAC